rnacentral:rRNA from 1 species
GCUCGAGUGGCGAACGGGUGAGCAACACGUGAGUAACCUGCCCUUGACUUUGGGAUAACUUCAGGAAACUGGGGCUAAUACCGGAUAGGAGCUCCUGCUGCAUGGUGGGGGUUGGAAAGUUUCGGCGGUUGGGGAUGGACUCGCGGCUUAUCAGCUUGUUGGUGGGGUAGUGGCUUACCAAGGCUUUGACGGGUAGCCGGCCUGAGAGGGUGACCGGCCACAUUGGGACUGAGAUACGGCCCAG